ACGGAAGGCAGCAGUGGGGAAUAUUGCACAAUGGGCGAAAGCCUGAUGCAGCGACGCCGCGUGAGGGAUGACGGCCUUCGGGUUGUAAACCUCUUUCAGCAGGGAAGAAGCGCAAGUGACGGUACCUGCAGAAGAAGCGCCGGCUAACUACGUGCCAGCAGCCGCGGUAAUACGUAGGGCGCGAGCGUUGUCCGGAAUUAUUGGGCGUAAAGAGCUCGUAGGCGGUCUGUCGCGUCGGAUGUGAAAGCCCGGGGCUUAACCCCGGGUCUGCAUUCGAUACGGGCAGACUAGAGUGUGGUAGGGGAGAUCGGAAUUCCUGGUGUAGCGGUGAAAUGCGCAGAUAUCAGGAGGAACACCGGUGGCGAAGGCGGAUCUCUGGGCCAUUACUGACGCUGAGGAGCGAAAGCGUGGGGAGCGAACAGGAUUAGAUACCCUGGUA
rnacentral:rRNA from 1 species